GGUAUAGGGAGGGCGGGGGCGUUACUGAUCUGUAUGAGCAAGUAUCUGUACACAAGGUCAGUGGGAACUCGUGACUAGAUCAGCCUUAAGAUCAGUUCCUCCUGUGUGUGUGUGUGUGUGUGUGUGUGUGUGUGUGUGUGUGUGUGUGUGUGUGUGUGUGUGUGUGUGUGUGUGUGUGUGUGUGUGUGUUAGAGAGAGAUUAGCUGUUUUAAGUUCCUUAAUGGUUCUAGCAUGAAUUUGCAAUUUUUUGAAAUCUUGAGCUCCCCACAUCCUUUCCAUUUUUUCAAGAUUUAUUCAUUUGUUUAACUUUGGAGAGUUUUUUUUUUUUGCCCCUCGAAUCAUCAUUCAGCUGGCCUUGUUGCCCACACCCAUGUUGAAUGUUGAAAACAGAGAUAAGACUGUAUAUGACAUAUAUUUUUAGUCAGUAUGGCAUAGUGAGUGCUGUGGUAAACUUUUAGUUUUUUUCUUGAGUUAUUCUUUGUAUGAAGAUAUCUUUGUCAUAUAUACCCAUAUAACUUAAGAUCAUGCCUUUAAAAAGCUUUUGUCGUACAAGAAACAGAAUUAGGUUCUUUUUUCUUUGUGAAUUGCAUUGUGUUAAGAUUAUUUAAUGAUAACAUCUCUUUGUAAAUAGCUGUCCAACAUUUGUUAGCAUUUUCAUUUGUUUUACCAGAAACAACAAAAUUUCUAAGUCUUAUGUUUUUUCAUAGCAACUUUCUCAUUUAUCUUAGAAUAAUUGUAGGAUUGGUACUUUCACGUACUUUCUGACAUUUUGAAAGAACUUGGUCUUCAUCUUGUUUCUGUUCAGGCUCAAUGUAACCGCACUGAGCAGACUUGCACCAUCUUAAACGGUUACAAUUUCCUUCUGCAAAUUCAAAGGCACUGUUGUUGCAGAUACCAUCUGUCUUAGCUUUUCUCACCACUGAUAUCAGCAUUUGAUUAAGGGUCAGAUUAAUGCAAAAUUUUUUUAGUAAUGAUCAUUAAUAUCACUAGUCGGUUUUCGUCACAGAAGGAAUAUGUGAACUGAACUUAAAAUGUGGGCUUGUUAAAUAAGUGUCUUCAAAAACCAGCUAAUAAGACUGCUUAAACUUAUUUUCAUUUAUUGGAUCUUCAUGAAAUAUUUGAGAACGCUGCCUAUUGUUUUUUUAUAGGUUGGGUUGUAUGCUUAUUGAGUUGUUUAAUAAUUUGGUGGUAAAUUGCUUUUGAUAUAUGGUUUGUUUUUUAUUUUAGUUUUGCUUUUGACUGCCACAUAUAGCUUGACUGACUGUAUACUUUAGACAAGUGAGUGCCGUGUGACAUGACCUUGGCGGAAAACGCCGGAAAGCUGGCAAUUCUCCAGCUAUUGUUUUGUAGUGCAGAGGUGAUGUUUGUUUUUUACUUUUCUUCCACCCCAGAUAUUAAAAACCAAAAUUGAUAGAGUAAGCAUAUUAAAAAGCAUUGUGAAAAUCUUGCUUAUUAUCAUUUGCAAAUGAUGUGUUGUGGGUUUUGUGGCAAUAAUUCACUUUAGUCACAUGGUUAGAAAGUGAAAUGUGCCCUGCUGCUGUUAGCUUCUGUUAUAUCAGUAUCUUUUAAACAUUGUUUUUAUUGAUGUAACGGUCAUCUAUCCAUGAAAACCUGCCAUCUUUUCCCUUUAUCCUUUCAGGGUGUGUAAGGUUCUGCACUGGUUUUUUUUAAGGGAUGCACUUAUCACGUACUGCUUAAAUAGUGAGAUUAGGGCAAUCAGUCUUAAAGCAGGUGUUCACUGACAUCAAGGGAAGGACUAAUCCUAAUACAGAACCAUCACUUAUUUGUAAUAACCGUCACUAAAACCAGGUCGGCCAGACUUCUGUGGAACAGUGAUGAAAUCUGAAUCUUAUGACUAUGCGGUGGUGUCAUAACACGUCAUGUGAUGCAUUAUGCUCUGGGGUUAGUGCUUCCAUUGGAUCCUGAUCAGUGAUUUCAAAUUGAUGGUCUAUGAGAAUUUAAGACGCCACCUAUAUAGUUCUCCUGCAAUGUUUACUCAUGUUAUUCACUAGUGAUGCCCCAAUAAGGAAAUAUUUGGCCGAUACGAAAGGCCAGUUAUUUCAAAAACGGACACCGAUACUGAUUUGUUUGGGAGGUUUUGCUUAAAUAAAAAAAAAAAUUGAAAAUUUGCAUGCCGAAAAUAUGGAAAAGGUACUAUAUUUUAUAACUAACUGUUUAUAAAAAGUGUGGAACUCCGUAAUUUUCUGAGUAGUAUCUGUGUUAUUUGGCACUAAUGCAGCCUUCUCUAUUGGAAUACAUUUUCAGUCUCUUUGCUUUCCCUAAGGCAAGACAGUAAUCAAAUUUGUUGUAUUGUUUUUUUAGUAGAUCCUCCUUAUGAAGUGUUAGAAAUGCAUUUUGCAAACAUUACUCUACUAGCAUUAAUUCCACACGGCAGACAUUUUUCUGAGUGUUUAGUACGCCGGUGUGCAACCCAAUAUGGGUCACCAUUUUAAAGAGAAUUAACGGCAGUAAAUAUCGGCUCAUUUUUAGCUAUUGACCAAUAACUGAUUGUUGCUGCAUUGGUCGAUACCAAUAGUUGGCCGAUACAAUUGGUGCAUUUUUAUUAUUCAUUCUAAUUCAUAUGCCAUUUACAUCUGUGAAACACGACACUUGCUUAAACUUUUUUGAUUAGUAUAGCUUCAUAGUAUUCCUCUGUGGACAUCCAUGGUAGACUGGUACAUAUCCCUUCGUUACUGCCAUGUUAUUUUGGAAGUUCCUGCUUUAUCCAUGCUGUUUCCACCCUCAAAUAUUUGUACUGGUGUAACCUUUGUACUAAGUAACAGAAGGCGUUAUAGGUGAGCCACUGGAUUUAAGUUGGUGUGCCUAUGUUUUUGCACUCUAAGAACACAGCUAAAAGGCUCUUGCUAAGACUGUUUCUGUGGAAAAAUAUUUAUGCUUUACAUAUUUUUUUAGCAUAUACUGUAAUGUGGAUAUGCCACUCUCUAUAAACCAUUUAGUGUUCCGAAGAUUAAGAUGAAUGUUAUCCCAGGGGAAUUCUUGUGCAUAAAGCAGCAAGGACCAAAAAGACCAAGAGGCUAAGAAUCCUGCUGAAUAAUAAGUCAACAGAUACUUCCCCUGCCUGAAGCAAAUUUGUAUGUUCCUGUCCCUAACAAGUUUUCCUGCUUGUGCAGUUGAUCUUAAUUCAGUUCAGCAGAAGGGUGAACGGUCAGGUGCUUCUUUCUUUCUCAUAAGGGAAGUUCCAGUGAAAUUUGAUCUGUUAAUAUUUGUCAUGUUUAGUAGUGUGGAGAUCUAAAUCAAAUAACUCUCUUGCUGUAGCUAGGAUCCAUACCAUUCUGUUAGCAGCGACUGAGGAUGAUGAUGCUAAGAUACGAAAUAGUAUAAAUAAUUUUUAACUGGUUCCAUGAGUAUCAUUUUUAAGAAAGCAAAGUUGAAGCUCUCGUAAGACCGUCAACUGGUAAAACGAGUGUCAUUUUUUCAUUCUGCUAACUGUUUGCACAAGUCAGCUGUGCAACAGAAAUAUGCAAAUGCACAGAUUUAUCUUCAGUUUUAAAAUUUUUUAAGAUGGUGCGCCUAAAACCUCCAUGUUUCUCAUAGGCAGAACACUCCUUGUGUCUUGGGCCAAGUAGUCCUUGGGAGUCUAAUUAACAUGGUAUAUGUUACUGUAGAGCAUUAUGAUGGAGAAGAAUCAAGCUGUAUAGCUCAUCUCCCUGAUAGAACACCAGCUAGCCUUGUGAAUUCAGGGCCACUUUGUUGACUAAGGGCUGGGAUAUACGUGACGCGAUGCGUAUGCUACAAAAGCAGUGUACUGGCUAUACUUCAGCGUGUAGUUUACAUCUGUCUGGAGGAUUAAAACUACUUCGGUCGUUUGCGUAGUUUCCGGUCUCACUUGUUCGCAUUAGAUUGUGAUGCUCGCUGCCCCCACAACGAUCGACUUGCUAAUUUUGUAAUUCUGCUGCAGCAUUCUCUCUCUCUCUCUCUCUAUAUAUAUAUAUCCACUAUUCCACAUAUUAUUGGUAUUUAGCUCUACCACAUAUCUCCUUACUGCCCUGUCUUGAAUGUUGCAUUAUGUAUUGUUGGAUAUCUCAUGGUAGUUAGUAUUUCGUGAUUUGGCUGCAUGAUAUUCGGGGGAAAUCCAUUUCUUUAAGUUUUUUGCAUUAUUUAUAAAGAGAGAAUAGUUCAAAAUCAAUUUUCCACAAACACGUCUAUUCAUGAGUGAUUUUUAUACAGCAAGGAUGAGUGAUUAGGAUUGGCUCUGACAGCACAUGCAGAGCUGUUGCAGAAGUAGUAACUUCUGCAACAUAAAUGAACAACAUAAAUGAUCUAGCGAAAUGGAAAACCCCACUCUUCUGAAUUUUAUGACCAAGAUUUAUAAAUAGCAGAACUGUAUUGAAAAAUAACAUUGCGUAUGAAAGUAGUCCAGUAAGAAUUUCAAGUUAGGAUUUCAUUGUACUUUGUACACAACACUGGUUUCUUAGGGCGUUUUUCCAUCGCACCAGGUACCGUACCAAAAGUACGGCAUUGGUUUUCCACUGGCAUAAAACAUUUCUACCUGCGCCGAAUGACAUCACAACUCAAGGUGGAGUGUAUUGUACUGAAUUUGAAAAAAUGGUUGUAUGAUAGCAUACCACUUGGUGGUGUGCAAUAUUAAUACCAACAUCGCUUGUUAUUCACAUACAAUUCUUAAAUUCUAGUCAGCUAUAUUAAAAGAAGGCUUUUUCUUAAUUUCAAUUCUAUACUUUAUAAAUUUAUACUAACGGUCUUUCUGCUACUGUCUAUUCCUGGGAUUCUGGUCUUCUUCACUUGCUUAUAUUCACUUCAUCGCGUGUUUUCACUGUUGUCUAGCCGUCUUGUUUUAUGUUCACUCUGCAGGAGCACAUGCAAGCAAGCAUUUCAUUGUUCAUGGAACUUGUACACAUGACAAAAGAAUUGAAUAUGGAUAUUACAGUGCAGGGGUUGAAGCCUAGCUAAAAUAUUUUUACUCUGUUACUCUCUCAUAGGAAAAAAAACAACUUGGCAAGCUUUGCAAUUUUAAUUAUUCCUUUUAUAGAUUCUUGUAUGUAUAAAAAUCUUAUGUUUUACCUCUGCUGCUUUUGCAUGAGUGCUGCAUGCAUGCUUCGUGACAAUCGUAGUCAUUUUCAUCCUUAAAUCACUCAAAGAUGGGUUUGUGAGAAAUAUAUGAACUCCUCUUUUGUUUUCUAAAUACUCCAAUAUUUAUUACAACAAAAUCAUAUCACUGUGUUUAUAACAAAAUGACAUUGCUGGUACAGCAUGCAUAUAGCUGCUAUAUUUAGUAUAUUCAACAAUAUACUUGUCAUGCCAUCCGAAUCUUUUUGUUGUGUAUGUUCUUAUGACCAAAUUGCAUUUUAACUUUGUUUCUCAUUUUCUGAGUUCGCAACUGUUUUCAAGGUGGUGUUUUUAUUGUGUUUCAGGCCGGCUAUUUACAUAACCUAUCGAUAAAGAAAGUGUUUCAAGUUGCACCCCAAGGUACCAAAGAAGUACCCCAGCUGGUUUGGCACUUUUGGUACUGGUACUUUUGGUACUGGCACUUUUGGUACUGGUACUUGAUCAGAAGUCAAUGGAAAAGUGAAAGCACCAAAAGUACCAUAACAAAAGUACUGGGUGCGGUGGAAAAACGCCCUUUGAAACUGGCGUUUGAAGAUGCUGUACACAGAGGAACAAAAUGGUGCUCAGAAUAUUUUCUUUCUUGCCUCUGAAAAUGUACAUGUCUUCCAGCCAUUCAUUUUUAAGAAAUCAGGUAGUACUUUGAUACUAACUGUACCAUAUAUAAGCACACAGUCCCGUGACAAAAGGUGACCAUACUGCCACUCAAAUUUGGUGCUAAUGCAACUGGUGCAAACAUCACAUUAAUUCCUCACAUUGGCAUGGAAUCAACAAAGAAAAUGUGUGGUGGCCAUGAUGUGAACGCGUUGAGUAUGAACUGGCUCUAAGGAGGAAGGAUGCAACUCAGACUAUUGAGCUAUUCAGGAACGCCCUGUGAGACUCACUUUUAAAUUUACACAGCUCAUUAAAGCUUGCUGUGGAAAGGCAGAUUAAAUGUUUACAGCUCUGGCAAUCGAAUGAUGAGCAUCUUAAGUUUAAACUUUUUGCCACUGUAAUUUCAUUGACUAUCCUGGGUAAUUAGAUAUGCCUACCCUAGGAAGGAGAGAGACCAUUCUGCAUGUUGCGCUAAAGUUAUUCCAGGUCUUUACUGGCAUUUUUUCACCUGAUUAAAUUUGUUUCUUCCAAGGAAAAACUACAGAAUACAAACUUCGGAUUGCGAGUAACUUGGUUUGCGAGUGUUCUGAAAGACGAGCAAAAUUUAAAUAUAAAUUUUAACUCGGAAAAACGGGCGAGGUCUUGCAAUACGAGAAUUAUGCAUACACUUUGUCUGCCUAGCGUCACAUAAUCACAACUGAGCCAAUGGUUCUUCUUUCUCUCUUGCUGCAGGAUUGUGGGCAAUCGUUUCCCAUGCGCGAUCUGUCGGCGAGCUUCACUCGUAUAGUCAAAAUUUAGUAGAAAAGCACCACCCGAAUAAGGGUGUAGCUGUGUGAGCAGUGAAUCUUUGACGAUCAUGCAAUGUCCACAUAUCCGCGAAAUCGAAAAGGAGGCAAAAGCAGGUGUCAUUGGAUAGGUUCUUUGGUAAAGUCGCACAAAAAGAAAGAUUCCAGUGAGCUAACAGAGUACAGUGAUUCCUUUAGUUAUAGUGAAAGCUGUCCUACAAAAUAACCCUUGUUUUUCCCUCUCUCUCAUCUCCCUCACACCAUCCUCAAUACUUUUCAAAGGUUAAGUGCAGGUUAAUUUGUUUUACUUUACUUGUAUAUUUUGUGUUAAUUUUUAUAUGACUGUUUUUGGGUUGUGGAACGAACCCACGAUUUCUAAUGGGAAAAUUCACUUUAAUACAUGAGUGCUUUUGGAUUAUGAGCACGUUUCCGGAAUGAAUUAUGCUUGCAAUCUGAGGUUUUACUGUGUACUCAAGAAUAUAAAAAAAUAAA